GAUGAACGCUGGCGGCGUGCCUAAUACAUGCAAGUCGAGCGAACAGACGAGGAGCUUGCUCCUCUGACGUUAGCGGCGGACGGGUGAGUAACACGUGGAUAACCUACCUAUAAGACUGGGAUAACUUCGGGAAACCGGAGCUAAUACCGGAUAAUAUAUUGAACCGCAUGGUUCAAUAGUGAAAGACGGUUUUGCUGUCACUUAUAGAUGGAUCCGCGCCGCAUUAGCUAGUUGGUAAGGUAACGGCUUACCAAGGCAACGAUGCGUAGCCGACCUGAGAGGGUGAUGGGCCACACUGGAACUGAGACACGGUCCAGACUCCUACGGGAGGCAGAAGUAGGGAAUCUUCCGCAAUGGGCGAAAGCCUGACGGAGCAACGCCGCGUGAGUGAUGAAGGUCUUCGGAUCGUAAAACUCUGUUAUUAGGGAAGAACAAAUGUGUAAGUAACUAUGCACGUCUUGACGGUACCUAAACAGAAAGCCACGGCUAACUACGU
rnacentral:rRNA from 1 species